UCUACUCCUACAACUCAACAACUACGUUUACGCAAUUCUAGAAUGGCCUUUACAGCAAAAAAAUUAGUUACAUAUACCAAGCUAUCUUUUCCAUUGGUUGUAGUAAAGAAUCAUCUUUGCUCUACUAACAAAUCUACCGUGCUGUAACAUCAAAUUUUAUUAAAUAUAAUUACUAAUCCUAUGCAGCUUUGCGAUUUGAUUACUGCAACAUAGCAAACUGGCUGUCCGUAUAUUACGGCGGUAAAUUUGCUAGACUAGCAGGGUUUUUGGUUGUCAUAGCAAAUCUUUUUUUCCGUGCAAUAGAUUUGCCGAUCAAAAAUUUUCCUCUUAUUCGCAUCUUUAAAUUAAAGGAUGGAGAAAGACAAUUAUAAAUAGAUUUGCUACAGCAAAUUUCUGAAUCCAUUGUCUGUUGCGAUGGAUCGAUUAUUAAACAUGAUUGUUCAUGGAAAUGAUAGCAACGAUUAUGCAGGUUUCAAGGGGUAUGCUGACAAUCUGCAUUAUUGGCGACGAGCUGGAAGAAGAACUGUAUAAUUUCUCGAUAGAAAAAUGAGACCUACAUCUGAACGAGACAAGAAGGUCAUCGCGCAUUUUAGGAUUAGAUAGUGAAGAAAAAUAACGAAUUGAUAAACAAUUCUAAGCGAUUCUACGUAGCAGUCGCAUUAAAAUAUGCUGGGUGAAAUUCAAUUGCCGUUUAUUAAGUUCAGAAUAGUAAAACAAAGUUAUUUUUAAUCAUAUAAGAUGAUUAAAAUUGGUAAAACCAGUUAAGUAAAUUAUUACUAAAUUGUAUACACAUAUUCUGAAAUGGAAUUGUAGUGAAAAGUUCUAAUAGAAAGAUGACGCUUUCGCUUUGGAAUAAGAAACAAAUAAAAUUGACAUUAAUUAGAACAACUUGCGCGCUCAGAACGUUCAGUUUCAAGCCGGUUAACUUCAUCAACACACCGGAAGCUUUGAUGCAAUCUGUCGAUUUGUAAAACGUCCACGAUCGCGGAACUGAAAAGCAAAUUGCAUGUAUGUACGAUGUAAACUAAUUUUGCAAAUGUCAGCUGUUUUGUUGAUUUUUCCUAAUUUCCUGGAUUCAAGAUAAAUCGUGCUCUAAUGCAAUUACGUAUCAUAUGACGUACUUAAUGAUAAAGCAAGCAAGAAAAGAUAUGUGCACGUGUAUAUGAGUUUCACAUCUUUUUUUUUAUAUAGAGAAGUAAAAUACAGUAUACAUCUUUGUUUUUCUUGCGCUCUCUAUUUUCAUUGACAUUAUUUCGUUGCUAAUCAGUAAAUGCCCGAUGGCCUUCUUUUGACAACACGACAAAUGAUUCGCGUGUAAGAAUUGCUCUUUACAGAUUAUAAUCACAAUACUAUAAUUUAUUUAUACACAGAAUAUCCAAUAUUAUCUUAAAAAAUUACUUCUACGUAAAUCUGCAUUGGUUCGUUUUUAUAAUUUACAUUUUUAUACGCCACUGAAAUGCGAUUGCUACGUGUGACAGAUAAUUUCCGUUACAUAAACGUUAUUGCAAUUUACGAGCUGAUAUCAGGUCAUCGUGAGUUAAUGAACGUUUAGGAUUUUCGGCACGGCGUCGUAAUGUAUUCUUACUUGUUACAAAUCAUAUGUAUAUUAAAUCGAACGCAUACAAAACAACAAUUAAACAAGUAUUACACCUUUUGAACGCGCGCCGCGCGGUACUGUCGCUUUUUAUCUCUUCUACUUCCGAUCUCGUUACGAGUUUUAUAAAAUACGUACAUACGAGUACUUAAAGUCAUGGGCAAGUAGAAUCGCGUUACGAUUAACCAGCUAUUAUCUAUUAAUUUACUACUAAACUAGUAGUAAACUUACUAACUACGAUCCCAUUUUAAUUCCGGGAUGCUUACCAGGUCCCCUUCACCAUGCCAGAUCUCCAACAAACGGCUUCGUAAACGUAUCGCACCUAGUUGCGAUCGCCAGUGAGGAUUACAUGCGGUCCAACAAUGGCAUUGCUUUAUUGUCCGCAAUGCACACGAUAGAAUACUUAAUUAUCUAUUCGCGAUACUCCGGACAUGAAUAGACGCGACGAGGGGGAAUAGAAUAUCGUUCCUAAUGUAUACG